AACGGCCAUACAAUGCUGAAUAUACCGAUUCUCGUUAGAUCACCGAAGUCAAGCAACUUGGUCAGUACUUGGGUGGGUGGCCACCUGGAAACAAUGCGUGCC